UACAUCGCCCGACCACUCUAU
rnacentral:miRNA from 1 species